rnacentral:rRNA from 1 species
GAUGAACGCUAGCUACAGGCUUAACACAUGCAAGUCGAGGGACCGGCGCACGGGUGAGUACCACGUAUCCAACCUGCCCUUUACUCGGGCAUAUCCUUUCGAAAGAUAGAUUAAUACCCGAUAUAAAGGCUGGGGAUGCGUUCCAUUAGGUUGUUGGUAAGGUAACGGCUGACCAAGCCUUCGAUGGAUAGGGGUGCUGAGAGGAAGGUCCCCUGCAUUGGAAAUGCGGCACGGUCCAAACUCCGACGGGAGGCUGCAGUGAGGAAUACUGGUCAAGGGGCGGUAGCCUGAACCAGCCAAGUAGCGUGAAGGAUGAAGGCUUAUGGGUCGUAAACUUCUUUUAUAUAAGAAGAUGUAUUAUAUGAAUAAGGAUCGGCUAACUCCGUGCCAGCAGCCGCGGUAAUAC